rnacentral:lncRNA from 1 species
GGGGAUGCUGCUGGUGCAAAGCCCUGACUACUCCUUACCUAGAUGCUGGACUAGUUUUCAUACUAGAUCCCCUCGUGGCAGCAUUAAGGAACUUCACAUUCUUCUCACACUAUUCAUGGAAAGUUCCUGGAACUCCCACAGCAGCAAGAAAACUUCGCUUGUAGGAGUCCUUAGCACAUCUGUAAAGUUUUAUUGGCCAAAAUGUGAUACAUCUCCAUUUCUGGAUCAGUCACUGUGGUCAAGUGCAAGACGCUCUACAGGACUCAACCUGGGGAUGAGGUCUGUCUACUCCAUCCAUAUGGUCACUUUAUACUGAGGUUGGGGUUGCUGCUUUUUAAGAGAUGAAAAGAUCCAAGGUGUGACACAGAAUGGAUGACUGGAGUGGAAAAAAUGAAAAUGUCAUUGGAAUAUGGAAGUAAAGAAACUGAGAAGCUGAGAGUUUUUGCAUCAUCCAGUCAGUGUUUCUCAAUCGGGAAAGAAUUUGCCUCCCAGAGGACAUUUGGCAAUGUCUGGAGCUACUUCUGUUUGUCACAAUUAGGAUGAGGAAAAUUUAGAUUUAUAAGGAUGUAACUUGGUCAACAUCAUAAAGGUAAGUAGGUG